rnacentral:lncRNA from 1 species
AAGAAUGUUCUGGAAAAAAUCAACAGAAAUCAAUUCUUCAUUCAAAUCAAAGGUAUUUUUACAAAUGGGCAGUUUGGUAUUUAAAGGAAACUCAUUGCCUCUAGUCAAGCCUCUUCUUGGCUGAAUGUUGACUAAGAUACAAGGAGUAAGUGCCUAGCUGUGCAAGUGUGAAGAAAACAUGAAGAGCCAUGUGGAGAUCUCUUGAGUCUGUUGAAC